UAACGCUUUACUUUUAUUUUGUAGUCUCCGGUGAAGCGACCGGCGACAGAGGAGUCAGUACUCGCUCCCGCCGAUGCAGUCGCUGCUCAAAGCUCGCAAGUCAUUUUGCUCCUUCAAUCGCCUCCGCUUCUCAUCAACUGUCGUAAAAUCGGAACCUGCAACUGGAGGAACCUCUACUUUCAUCCAUCCAACUGCUGUCGUACAUCCGGAUGCUGUAAUCGGCGAGCAGGAUGGGUAUAUUGGUCCAUUCUGUACUGUGGGAGCCUUUGCAAAGCUUGGAAGUGGUUGUCAGUUGCAUCCAGGGAGCCAUGUUUUCGGCUGUACAGAACUUGGGGAUCAAUGUGUCUUGAUGACUGGCGCUAUAGUUGGUGAGGAUCUUCCUGGUCGGACAGUCAUUGGGUGUAAUAACAAAAUAGGUCACCAUGCAGUGGUUGGCAUUAGAUGCCAAGACAUGAAAUACAAGCCAGGGGUUGAAUGUUUCCUUGAUGUUGGAGAUAACAAUGACAUAAGAGAACAUUCAUCAAUCCACCGAUCUUCAAAGUCAAGUGACGUGACAGUCAUUGGUGAUAACAAUCUCAUAAUGGGAUCCUGUCACAUUGCUCAUGACUGCAAGAUUGGUAACAACAAUAUUUUUGCAAAUAAUACUCUUCUAGCCGGACAUGUUGAGGUGGAGGACUAUGUUCACACAUCAGGAGCCACUGCAGUUCAUCAGUUUUGCCAUGUUGGCUCUUUCUCGUUCGUCGCUGGGGGUACCGUGGUUUCACAAGAUGUCCCCAAGUAUAUGAUGGUGAUGGGAGAAAGAGCAGAACUUCGCGGUUUAAAUCUAGAGGGACUCCGGCGGAACGGAUUCACAGUGGAAGAGAUAAAUGGCUUGAGAUCUGCUUACAGGAAAGUAUUCAUGCCUACUGAUGCAAAUUCUAAAGGGCUUGAAGAACGUCUAGAGGAAGUGGAACAGCAUGAAAAGCUGGCUCAUAUACCUCCAGUGUGUUCCAUGAUUCAGUCAAUACGUGCCUCGUUUGAACAAAAUCGUCGAGGAAUAUGCAAAUUUAGACCAUGGAGUCGCUCUUAAGUAAGAUUGUGCUCACCUCUCUAGGUGAUCCAUGCACUUGUUCGUCGAAUUAUCAAGCAUCAUUCGCCGAGAAAGUUUCAAUUUGCAAAAGUAAUCAAGAUUCUCUAGAGCACAGUUUCGACCCAAGAAAAACUUGCACUUGUUACAGGUUUUAAUUUUUUCUUCUGGUGUUGUAGUUGCUGCCAGUAUACUAUCGUCUCCACAGGAUAUUGUUAAUUAGCGGAGUACUCGAGAGCUGCGUGACAUCAAAAAAUAAGACUUUGACAAUUUUGACAAAUCUAGUCUUGUUCCAUUUGGGCCAAUUUUUCCACUCCAUUUCAAUCAGCCCUGAAGAAGAAGAAGAAGAAGAAGAAACAUCUAGGUCAGCUCCCUGAAAAAUGGAACUGAGAGGUAAGAAACUCUUCAGCUUGACCAAGGUUUUAGGAAAUCCAAAAAACAACUUUCAAAGUUAACAACCUCUGACUUUGACAGAUGCCUUAAAAAAAAAGAGGAAAAAGGAAUAAUGAGGAUUGGUUUGGUGACAUUAUAGGUUCUUGCUU